AGGCUCUGAACUGAAGCUUGCAGGGGUAGCCCCUCACACAGCCAAUACGAGGUCCAGCUCCCGUUGUCCAUUUGCAAGAUAACUGUUUCCCCAAUUGCAGCCAGCAGAGGUGGAGACAGAGAAAUUAAAUAUGGACUUUUUUGACAAACACAGAAAGAAGACCAGAGUUUCCUUUUUCCAACCACGUGCCACGGACAAUUCUCAACUCCAAACCCACGCAAGGCAUCCUCAACUUAUUGCAUCCAUUUACAUAAAAAAUUUCUCAAAAUUAAUGCAAAAGUAAUUAAUUGUUUCUGCUAAAAUUGAUGUGAAUCCAAACAUACUUUUAAUGUUACAUAGAUAUCUGUAGUCUUUCCUUUUAUAUUUAAUACAAUAAUAUUAUUUACCAUAGUUUUUUAUUGGAUUUAUUACAAUAGUUUUUGUGGGAAGAGUAUAAAAGAUUUACUCUUCAAACGGAAUAAUUAACUCAAAAGUUUUAUCAGCA